rnacentral:rRNA from 1 species
AGACCCGAAACCCGGUGAUCUAGCCAUGGGCAGGUUGAAGGUUGGGUAACACUAACUGGAGGACCGAACCGACUAAUGUUGAAAAAUUAGCGGAUGACCUGUGGCUGGGGGUGAAAGGCCAAUCAAACCGGGAGAUAGCUGGUUCUCCCCGAAAGCUAUUUAGGUAGCGCCUCGUGAAUUCAUCUCCGGGGGUAGAGCACUGUUUCGGCUAGGGGGCCAUCCCGGCUUACCAACCCGAUGCAAACUGCGAAUACCGGAGAAUGUUAUCACGGGAGACACACGGCGGGUGCUAACGUCCGUCGUGAAGAGGGAAACAACCCAGACCGCCAGCUAAGGUCCCAAAGUCAUGGUUAAGUGGGAAACGAUGUGGGAAGGCCCAGACAGCCAGGAUGUUGGCUUAGAAGCAGCCAUCAUUUAAAGAAAGCGUAAUAGCUCACUGGUCGAGUCGGCCUGCGCGGAAGAUGUAACGGGGCUAAACCAUGCACCGAAGCUGCGGCAGCGACACUCAGGUGUUGUUGGGUAGGGGAGCGUUCUGUAAGCCUGUGAAGGUGUGUCGUGAGGCAUGCUGGAGGUAUCAGAAGUGCGAAUGCUGACAUAAGUAACGAUAAAGCGGGUGAAAAGCCCGCUCGCCGGAAGACCAAGGGUUCCUGUCCAACGUUAAUCGGGGCAGGGUGAGUCGACCCCUAAGGCGAGGCCGAAAGGCGUAGUCGAUGGGAAACGGGUUAAUAUUCCCGUACUUGGUGUUACUGCGAAGGGGGGACGGAGAAGGCUAUGUUGGCCGGGCGACGGUUGUCCCGGUUUAAGCGUGUAGGUGUGUGUUCCAGGUAAAUCCGGUUCACUUUAACACUGAGGCGUGAUGACGAGGCACUACGGUGCUGAAGCAACAAAUGCCCUGCUUCCAGGAAAAGCCUCUAAGCAUCAGGUAACAUCAAAUCGUACCCCAAACCGACACAGGUGGUCAGGUAGAGAAUACCAAGGCGCUUGAGAGAACUCGGGUGAAGGAACUAGGCAAAAUGGUGCCGUAACUUCGGGAGAAGGCACGCUGACAUGUAGGUGAAGUGAUUUAC